rnacentral:lncRNA from 1 species
GCGUAUCCGCCGCCCCCGCCAGCUCCCCCUCCUUCGCCACCGCCAUAACCCCCUCCAUGGGCCCCUCCGGCACCACCACCAACGCCUGCGCCGCUACCAUAACCACCGGCUCCCGCUCCCCCAGCUGAUCCCGCUCCACCUCCUCCUCCGUGUCCACUUCCGCCACCAUAUCCUCCAUCCGCAGAGUAUCCACUUCCGGCACCUCCUCCUUCACCGCCACCAUACCCACCUGCAUGUCCCCCACCACCUCCUCCUCCUCCACUGCCACCGCCACCUCCACCUCCUCCUCCACCACCUCCACCUCCACUUGCACCACCACCGGCACCACCGCCUCCUCCCUGACCGCCCCCACUCCCAUACCCAGCACCAUGCUCCCCACCACCAGCAUAUCCACCUCCUCCACCACCACCAUUGCCGGCUCCGCCGCCACCUCCGCCGCCAUGCUCCCCACCAUAUCCAGCCCCACCUCCUACACCACUUCCUCCACCACUAGCAUAGCCGCCGUGGUCGGCUACGGCACCACCAGACCCUCCGCCGCCGUAAGCAUUAGGAUGGUUGCUGGUAGCUUCUAGAAGCGUCCUUGCAGCAGAGGAUAUCGCUACACCCAACAACACAAAGAAAACAAUACUAACAACUCUGUUUGAAGCCAUUUAGAAUGUUAUGAAACGGUUGAUGAGAAGUGCAUGGAAUUGUAGGGUAUUUAUAGGCGC